rnacentral:rRNA from 1 species
UACGUAGGGUGCAAGCAUUAAUCGGAUUUAUUGGGCGUAAAGGGCGCGUAGGCGGAUGUGCAAGUUAAGUGUGAAAUUCCGAAGCUCAACUUCGGAGCUGCACUUAAGACUGCUUGUCUGGAGGAUUGGCGGAGAAAAUGGAAUUCCACGUGUAGCGGUGAAAUGCGUAGAUAUGUGGAAGAACACCGGUGGCGAAGGCGAUUUUCUAGCUUAUUCCUGACGCUGAGGCGCGAGAGCAAGGGGAGCAAACAGG